rnacentral:rRNA from 1 species
UACGAAGGGGGCUAGCGUUGCUCGGAAUCACUGGGCGUAAAGCGCACGUAGGCGGCUUUCUAAGUCAGGGGUGAAAUCCUGGAGCUCAACUCCAGAACUGCCUUUGAUACUGGAGAGCUUGAGUCCGGAAGAGGUGAGUGGAACUCCGAGUGUAGAGGUGAAAUGCGCAGAUAUCGGGAAGAACACCCGUGGCGAAGGCGGCUCUCUGGGACGGUACUGACGCUGAGACGCGAAAGCGUGGGGAGCGAACAGG